ACAGCAGCAGCCGCGGGAAUACGGAGGGAGCUAGCGUUGUUCGGAAUUACUGGGCGUAAAGCGCGCGUAGGCGGUUACUCAAGUCAGAGGUGAAAGCCCGGGGCUCAACCCCGGAACUGCCUUUGAAACUAGGUGACUAGAAUCUUGGAGAGGUCAGUGGAAUUCCGAGUGUAGAGGUGAAAUUCGUAGAUAUUCGGAAGAACACCAGUGGCGAAGGCGACUGACUGGACAAGUAUUGACGCUGAGGUGCGAAAGCGUGGGGAGCAAACAGGAUUAGAUACCCCCGUAGUCCCUGUCUCUUAUAC
rnacentral:rRNA from 1 species